rnacentral:lncRNA from 1 species
GAGAAUUGCAAAGGGAAAAAAAAUCAAGAUUUGGAGGAAUUACCCACAGAGAUGGAAGGUCUCUCACCCAGGCAGAGUUUAGCCUGGAGAAAAAAAACCAGAGGAUCUCCUAAAGAGACAGGAAGGAGAAGCAAGUUGCACAGGGAACCUUCUCCUGUGAGGAGCCUUCUCUUUCCCCUCCCACCUCACGAAGACAACAACAGCCUGACCUAGAAACUUCCUGAAGAUUUUGAACCUCCAGAGCCAGCAGAACCGAGCCUCCUCCAUGGCCCUGCAGCAGUCCGAGGGUGGCUGAUUGCUCUGUUCCCUUUGAUUUCUCCAAAAGAAGCAAAGAAGAGAGAAACUGGAUAACUGCUGGACUUUUCUACCAAGAGAUUCGAAAGUGCUUCCUGAAUGAGAACAUCUUUUCCCAGGGCAAAAAAGAAAGUCAACAGAGCAAUCAGAACAAUAUUAUUCUCUGGGUUGGAAACAGGGUACCUUGUUUACUGAAGUUUUCCAAGGCAAAAAAAAAAAAAAUCAUUGUUUUAAUGCAGACUCUUCAAACUGCAGAAAAAAUAAAUCUUCAAGCUGUCAUAGGAUUUUGUGUAUUUCUUCUAAAACUUCUGACUGCAUUUUUUUUUCUCCCUGUCUUCCCGCAUCUCUCACCAUCGCAUUUCAUAAAACCUCCAGAGUGACCCUGUCUUCUGACAUGUGAGUUUGGACUACUUAAAUCUCAUUCAGCCCAGCUGGUCAACUCCAAAGAAAACUAAAAAUAGGAAAAUAAAAUAAAAG